ACUCAAAUGAAUAGACGGGGGCCCGCACAAGCGGUGGAGCAUGUGGUUCAAUUCGACGCAACGCGAAGAACCUUACCUGGGCUCGAACGGCUUCCCAACGGGGGUGGAAACAUCCCUAUCCCGCAAGGGAGUGGAGUCGAGGUGCUGCAUGGCUGUCGUCAGCUCGUGUCGUGAGAUGUUGGGUUAAGUCCCGCAACGAGCGCAACCCUUGUCCUGUGUUGCCAUGCCCGCAAGGGCGGAACUCGCAGGAGACCGCCAGCGAUAAGCUGGAGGAAGGUGGGGAUGACGUCAAGUCCUCAUGGCCUUUAUGUCCAGGGCUACACACGUGCUACAAUGGCCGGUACAAAGCGUUCCCAAACCGCAAGGUGGAGGCAAUCGCAAAAAGCCGGUCUCAGUUCGGAUUGCAGGCUGCAACUCGCCUGCAUGAAGCUGGAAUCGCUAGUAAUGGCAGAUCAGCACGCUGCCGUGAAUACGUUCCCGGGCCUUGCACACACCGCCCGU
rnacentral:rRNA from 1 species